UGAAGCCUUUUUGAGAUAUAAUUUCAAAUUACCAUGACAACGGGGACCAAAACUGUCCACCUUCCCCAGGGGUAUCAGGGGAGAAAUCCCCCUGCAUCUAUGUGCUCCCAAACUAGACGUGAUCUCACUCUUUUUUGGUUUUCAGGAAGGCACUGCUUUUUGAAAAUUGUUACUAACAUUUGCCUCAAGUACACAUAUGUUCUGAUGCCAAAUAGCCAAAUGCCAAGUUGCGGGGGGUGGGGGCAGUGGAUAGGGCCAGCUAGCAAAUAUUUUAGGCUUUACAGUCUAAGAGGUAAAAUAGAAGAUAUUAUUUAAGUACUUAGAUAAAUAUUUAAAAUGUAAGAACUAUUCUUAGCUCAUGGCUGCACCAAAACAGGUGGUGAGCUGGAUUUGGCCUACGGGUCACAGUGGCCUGUGGGUCACAGUUGCUGACUGCUGCUCUGACUGUGGCUCACCCAGCCUGAGGCACUUCAUCCCAUCAUUUCUCAGCAGUCAGGGUCACAAGUCUCAUCAGAUCCCAACAGUGUUCCGUAUCUAGGUGAGCCAUGGGCAUGCAAGCGUGUCGUCAGAGUUCCGGGGCAGCCAGCUAGCAGAGCCUGGGCGGUCACCUAAGCAGGUUAUGAGACGGGCCUCGUUCUCACUGUGUAUUUUACAAUAUGAAGUCCACUCCAAGAACUUGAGGGAUAUCCUUGGCCUCCACAGAAUGGGAAGUUGUAAGCAGUCACGUGAGAGUGGACAGGCCUCAACUGGAUGCUCAGAGGAGUGAGGCCCUGGAUCCAUCCAAGAAGCUGCAGUUUGAACCACUAGCACCACCGUGUCUGGAAAUGAGAUGUAAAAAAAAUUCUCCCCCAUGCUUGCUUUGCUAUGCCACCACCUUCUGAUUCAAGAUAUGGAGACAGUGCUUUUGAUUGACUGAGCCUAGAUCAUAUGUCGUCACCACAGGUGCUGGGAAGGCUGGGAAUGCAUCUAUUACGAUGAGCUUGUAGUGGGGAAGCGAGCUCUAGCGUCUAAAGUAGGAUCCUCCUAACUUAAAGAGGAAGGUUCACCACUUGAAUUUGCAUAACGAAAUAUGAAAUGAUACAAAAGUGGUUACCUGUUGGAGGAGGGUGGAUGUGAAGAGAUUAGGAACAUGACUUCUUAAUGGGAACAUUUUCGUACCAUUUUGAGUUUUUAAACAUGUGUAUAUAUUAUCCAGUGACAAAUAAGAAAUCUUAAAGGGAAUAUAACCACAGGACCAAAUGUCACAAAUCGAGGUAAUGUCUUUCUUUGGUCAGCAUUCUCAGCAAGGAUUAAAGACACGACAACACAAAGUAGAUCGUGUUUAAAUCUGUGUUAUUUAAUGCCACCAAAUCCAUUGGGCCAAUUUGCUGUCCUCCUUUCUUUGGCCAUUUUGGCAUGCCCCCAAAUGACUCAUUUUCACAAUAGCACCGUGAAUUGGCAGUGAUUACCUCGCUAGGGAGAGAGAAAUGGUGUGGAUUUCCCAUACAGUGCAAUGUAAUAUGACUUAGUUUCUUGUCAGGAGAUUUCAGAACAGUUUCUCAUACACAAUAGAGCCCUGUCAGAACCAAACACCACACUGUGCCCUGGGGUAGAAUGAACCAGUGAAAUGAUUCUGAAGAUUUGCCUAUUGUCCAGAGGUGAAUCCUUAGGUCUUGUCAAUCCAAGGUCUUGACCCCUUUAGGACACAGACGGGGUCUGUGUGUGUGUGCAGAAUUAUCAUCCAAGAAGAGAAGUGGAAGUUUCCAGAAAGUGUCCUCUGAGGCCAUCUUUGUCCAUCAGGAAGAUCAUACUCCUCUUUGAGAAGAGAAAGCAUUGGGAAAGGGAAAGAUGAGGAGAGGAUCCAGCCAGGAUGAUAUUCAAAAUAUUUAACAACUUGUAUGGGAUGAACCCUACAAUCAGAGUAGUCUCUAGUUGUUACUUUAGUACUGGCUAUAAUGCUGAUUUUUUCAACCCUGUUCUUGAUCACCCAUACUAGCAUUUUCACCAGGGCUUCUAGAACUUCUCCAAAGCUCUAAAAUCCAUGGGAUCCAGGAAGAGGAAGUAAAGAGACAACUAGAUCCUAACUACUACCUUUCACGGGGCAAAUGACACCACACAUAAUCUAUAUAGACCCCAGACAAAUAAGAGAAUGUACUCCUAGGACUUAGUGAAUGUUCAAUACAUAUGUUCCUUUUUUUAAAAGAUUUUAUUUAUUUGUUCAUGAGAGACACACAGAGAGAAGCAGAGACAUAGGCAGAGGGAGAAGCAGACUCUUUGUGGGGAGCCCGAUUGUGGGACUUGAUCCCAGGACCCCGGGAUCAUGACCUAAGCCAAAGGCAGACACUCAACCACUGAGCCACCCAGGCAUUCCCAAUACAUAUGUUCCUUAAGAGUGGGAGUAAGGGUAAGCUUUAAGGUGAUAUCCCUGAAACUCAAUCUAUUGCCAUGAACACAUAGAAGGUGUUCAAUAGAUAUUAAAUACAGAUUGAUUGAUUAAAUAAAUGUGUUGGCUACAGGUUCUGCCAAAGUCUUUAUAUAAGGAUCCUCCAUGUGAUUUCUAGAGACACUAGACACUAGAGACACUAGACACUCCCAUUUAAACCCAAUAUGACCUGGUCUGAGAGGUAAGGGAGGAGUUCGGUUAUGAAUUGGAUUUUUUUUCUUGGCAGGAUAGGCAUGAAUCUGCUAUUCAUGGGCUUGUGAACAAUCUUCUUGAAGACUCGUGGACUCUCCUGUGGUCACUCUUGCUUCCCACCCCAAUGAGAAAGGAAGCUUGUGCUCUUUGUGUACCAUUUGAAGUCUAUAAUCUGUCCCCACACCCCGGCUCUGUGCCUGACCAUCGGCACACAUGGAGUGUCAGUUAUUAUGGAUAUAAUUAUCUGGUCCACAAACAGGUCAAGCUAUAUAUAACUUGGAAACUUUCAGGUGCUCAAAUUAGUUGUCAUAACUAAUGUGAAUCCAAAUACUUAUUUCAUUGGAUUUUUAAAAAGUUUUUUCCAGUUGGGCCACUCUAGUCUUGGAUUUUUUUUUAUUAGAGAGAUCCAUCCAAGGAUCAUAGGAUAAGCACCCGAUAAGAAGAAGCUCCUGGUUUCUCAGCCCUGGGUAUGACCACCUUCCUGCCGCCAUCAUGUCUGCUCAUUUCCCUAUCCAGGUUUUGGGGCUUUAUCUCCUGUUAUAAUCCCGAGAUUUCCCCUUGGAUAAAGAACAGCUGAGUUUCUAUCUGAUCCUCUGACACAUAUUAUAUCCUUUGAUCUUCCCUGGGGAUCAAAUGAUAGGCCUCCUUGAUCAAGAAAGACACCUGUGUGCAAUAUAAGAUUUACCUUGUCAAAUAAAUGUUUGGCCUUUGCCCUCAGCCCCUGGAAGAUAACCUCUAAGUCCUUGGAACGACCUGACUGAUAAGAGUGAUUUUGUUUACCUGGGGGCCUUGAGCCAUGCCAGAGGGUCUUUGUUAAUGAUGUGAUUUAUAGUAGAGGGUCUCGGACCAUAUGGUAUUAAUUUGAUGUCUGGACUAGCUGGAGACAAAGUUCAGACAUGUGGAUGAGUCCCAAUUAAAACUCUAGACAGUAAGUCUUGAACUUCCCUGGUUAGUAGUAAUCUGUUGCUUGUCACCACACAAAAUAUUGUAUCCUAGAGAAAGGUGUUCUUGGCACAACUCAUGUCUGAUGACUCCUGGACCCUGGCCUAUACACCUCUUCCCUUGGCUGAUUUUAAUCAAUAUCCUUUGCUGUAAUAAACCAUAACCAAGAGCGUUUGGCUUUUCUGAGUUCUGUAAAGUCUUGUCACAAAUUACUAAAACUGAGGGUGGUCUUGGGGACCCUGAACUUUGCAACUCUAAAAGUGGAACACCAGCAUUAACCUACCUGGCCAGAACUCCCAUGAGAAGCAACAAAUAUCUUCAUCCCAAACCUUGAGGACAUUGCAUUAUUAUUCUCAUCCUGAUUAACAGGUGUUUUCAAAGUUACCCCAUGCUUAGAACAGUCUCCUAAUACCACUGACUUUUGCAGGCAUCCCUGCCUCAUUCUCAAACCAUCCCUCUUUCUAUUUAUCUUCUUAUAAAAAUAUCUCCCAUUUCUGUAUUACUGCCUUUUUUGGUCAGGCACACACCCCAGGCUCAUACCUAUCCAAAUAAGAUUCUCCUUCUAACAAUCAAUUCCUGAACCAUCAGAAUUUACCAUAUCUUCAUGCCAACAUUUGCAUAUCACACCAACUUGCUCAGAUAAACUCCAAUAUACAGACACAAGGAGAUCUAGCCAAAAGAAUGUAGGAAAUUCAUGACUUAUCACAGAACUACAUGUGGCGGUCUUGAUGUAAAUGCAAAAAAGCAGGAAGUCCCUGAAUUGUACAAAAAGAAAUGACAUGAGAAUUGGAAAAGACAGUCCUGCAGCUUUUAUAAGACAAAUCCAUCAUAUGCAAGAGAGAACAUUAGAUUUCCUAUUCUAUUUUUUUCAAUGGUGAUCCAAUUAACACUUGAGCAAAAAGCCAUCUACAACAGUAUUAUGUUUCUUUAAGUCUCAGAUUAAAUGCUGGAGAAGUGCAGUAAAACCACAAUAAUUUGAAUCAAUGGGCAAAGAGCCCCAUAUAAAUUAAUGACAGAAUUACAGAAUAUAGUGGAAGAAAAACAAUUAUAUUACUUCCAAGUACUUACAUAAAUUUUUUAAAAAUGGUAACCAAAUAGACAUCUUAUGGGUCAAUUGUAAUGGGAAGACAAUUUUCCUAUGUCAUUUCACAUUAUUUUAAUUGAAACUGGUGUUACUUAAGUGCUUUAAUAAUGUGGAAAAUCAUUUCUAUUCUUAGUUUAAAUAUUUUCCUUCCAGGUCAUCUAAUAUUGUUGGGUAAACUUGGAAAAUAGUAAUUCUUGUCUCUCAUGAAGAUAAAACUUGAGGGAGGAGAAAAGAUAGGAGGGAGGCUGAAAUUAAUAAAGAAUUGCUUGACUUGAAUGAGCUGGCAUAUUUUUUAAAAGAUUUUAUUUAUUUAUUUGAGAGAGCCUGAUAGAAAGUGGAGAAGCAGACUCUCUGCUGAGCAGGGAGCCCACCACAGGGCUUGGUCCCAGGACCCCAGGAUCAUGAUCUAAGCCGAAGGCAGGCACUUAACACACUGAGCCACCUCAGUGCCCCUGAAUGAGUUGGCGUAUUAUAGAUCAAGAGAUGGCUUGCUUUCCACAGAUAAAAGUAGGUACAUCCUGGGAAAUGUAUGGUCCAAGAAGGCACUAUUAACUCUUCACCUUGUACUAUUAACUCUUCUAUUUAUUAUUCCACAAACUCUUUUAUUCAGCAAACAUUUCUUUAAGACCUAUGUCAUGUCAGGCCCCAUGUUUAGUUUUGGAAAUUUCAAGAUAUGUAAAAUACUGUGUCCUAAAGCAGUCCACUGGGGAUUCCAAAUGACUAUAAUUCAGAAUAAAUGGCCUCCUGAAUGUUCUCACAGAGCCUAGGGUGGGAGAAAUGAGUUCUUUCAGCCUCUUCCUGAGCUUAGAACUAGAUAUUUUCUAGUCUUCCUUCUUGGUCACAUAGGGCCACAUGACUCAGUUCUUAAAACAGAAUAUACACAGAAGUCACGCUGUCUACACCUGGGUCUAGGCUUUAAGAGGUGAACAUACCUCCUUCACUCUUUCUCCCUCCUGAAACCGAGACACAGCGGUCCCACUUUGGCCACAAAUGAAGACGACGUCCUUGGAUCUCGGGAAUGAUGGAGCAAUGACUAGACAACCUGGAAGAGAUUGAGUUGCUGCCCAGCAGCCUGGCACCCCUGAAGGAGCAGAUGGAACAGAACUGCCCACACACUUGGCACACUCA